GGCUAUCCAACUCAUGUAUUUCCAGCCCCGAGUGUUGGCAAAAACAUUUUCAUAUUGUUCUCACUUUUCUGACUGAGUCCAAAAAGUUCCUGGGAAACAGGUUUUGUUUUUCCUCGGGGGAUGUUUGGAUUUGAAAACACCAAAUUUCAACUGCAAUCGUUUGUCCAAGUGUGGUGUUGAAAGUACUGUCUAGAUCUGAGUAAAUCAGAAUCUGAAGAAAUAUAGCCAACGUCACUCAUUAACAAUGGGUUUUCCAAGGGUGAGUGACAUGAGGCCAUUUGUCUGCGGUGAGGUAGAUGCGCUCCUCUUUUCAGUGGCCCCCUGAGGCCACCAAUGUCACGGGCAAGCACAUCCUCGGUUUGGGGCCAUUAGCUGAAUGCCCUCUGUUUCAUCUUGCCUUUUCUAGGCCGCCCUCUCCUGUCUUUAAGGUCAGGGUUUCAGAAUGUCCUUCAGUUCUGCUUUAGUCAGGACUAAAAGCCUUCCACAGUGCCUUGACGAGGAGGACAUAUAAGGAAGAGGCACAAUUCAAGUAAAGUCAGUCUGUAUUGAUUUUGUGAACCCGGGGAACAGUAAGCCAGCCUUCAGUGCCGCCUGGCUGCCGGGCGCAUGCCGUUGUCAGACCGAUGAGCGAGGCUCCAUGCAGACAGGUGACAUAUUCGAGGUGGCAAGAGCAGCAAGAGCUUCUAGAUCCUGUCAUUUUGCUUCUGACAGUGUCUUUGUGUCUUUGUACAGUUGGAGGACCUGACUGACACGUGAGCCCCCCUUGGCAGCCAUCAUCUUCAGAAUACUGCUUUCCUCCCACGGGAGGAGCUUGUACCUCUCUCAUGUGUACAGGGUGCUUAUGUGCUCAUGAGCAGGCAAAGGAGCAGGGGACGGUUUCUUCCAGAUCACCCUUCCAGGUGCUCUGGAGUUGAUGUGGCCUGGCCACCUUUUCAUCAUCGCCCCUCCAGUUCCAUUGCAGUGAUGCAUUGCAGGCUCUCCUCAGGAAAAUGUUAUAAAGGAACUUGCUUAGAUUUUGUAAAUUAUUAUGUGGUUAAAGAAAUCAACGAUUUAUCAAGUGCUCACUCUGUGGAAGGCAUCGUGUGCAGAAUCGAAGUAAAGGCAAAGAUUGAAAGAAAUCAUUCCUCAAAAAAGUUGUGUGUAUUAAAAUAUGAAGAGCAGUAA
rnacentral:lncRNA from 1 species